AUCUGCUCCAUCAGGAGUUCAUCUCAUGAGCCCAGGACAGGGUUGGGAAAGGUGAUGAUGGUUGUGCUCUUACCCAUGUGCAAGGACCUUCUAUCUCAAAGCAGAAUAUUCACUUACAGGUACUGCUUUGUUAUGAGAGGCAAUGAGGAUUCUCCAGUUGGUUUCCAAUGAGUGAAGGCUAUUUAUGCUGUCUUUCAUCUCCCACUUUGAGCAGAGCUUCUGUUCCUGCCCUCCUUAGAGCAACCACCAGCCAGUCUCUGGGUGUCAGCUGCACAUCCACCAGCAGAUGGGAAGUUGCAGGAGUUGAGAAAAACAAAAGACUUUCUUCUGGAGUGCAGUCUCAGGUGUUACAUGGAGCGUUGGAGUGCUGGAGAACUGCUGGCAGAAACUUCAUGUCGGAUCAGGA